GCUGCAGAAGAAGCACCCGGCUAACUCCGUGCCAGCAGCCGCGGUAAUACGGAGGGUGCGAGCGUUAAUCGGAAUUACUGGGCGUAAAGCGCAUGCAGGUGGUUUGUUAAGUCAGAUGUGAAAGCCCCGGGGCUCAACCUCGGAAUUGCAUUUUGAAACUGGACAAACUAGAGUACUGUAGAGGGGGUAGAAUUUCAGGUGUAGCGGUGAAAUGCGUAGAGAUCUGAAGGAAUACCCGGUGGCGAAGGCGGCCCCCCUGGACAGAUACUGACACUCAGAUGCGAAAGCGUGGGGAGCAAACAGGAUUAGAUACCCCUGGUAG
rnacentral:rRNA from 1 species